rnacentral:tRNA from 1 species
GAGGUUGUGGCUCAGUGGUAGAGCACUUGCCUAGCAUGUGUGAAGCGCUGGGUUCGAAUCUCAGCACCACA